GAUGAACGCUGGCGGCGUGCCUAAUACAUGCAAGUCGAGCGAAGCGGGGACGUUUGAGUAACACGUGGAUAACCUCCUAUAGGACUUGGAUAACUUCGUGAAAGCGGAGCUAAACCGGAUACUUAUAGAUGGAUCCGCUCCGCAUUCGCUAGUUGGUAAGUUAACGGCUUACCAAGGCAACGAUGCAUAGCCGACCUGAUAGGGUGAUCGGCUAUACUGGAAAUGCGACACGGUCCAGAGUCCUACGGCAGGCAGCCGUAUGCACGCUCCCGCAAUGGGCGAAUGCCUGACGGUGCAUCGCCGCGUGAGGGAUGAAGGUCUUCAGAUCGUAAAACUCUGUUAUUAGUGCCGAGGUACCGAAUCAGAAAGCUACGGCUAAAUACGAGCGAGAAGCCGCGGUAAUAU
rnacentral:rRNA from 1 species